rnacentral:rRNA from 1 species
AACGAACGCUGGCGGCGCGCUUAACACAUGCAAGUCGAACGAGAAGGCGUAGCAAUACGCUUGUACAGUGGCGAACGGGUGAGUAAUACGUGGGCGACCUACCCUCGAGUGGGGAAUAACCCGCCGAAAGGCGGGCUAAUGCCGCGUACGCUUCCAUCUUUAUGGAGGUGGAAGGAAAGCCGUGCCGUGGGCACGGCGCUCAAGGAUGGGCUCACGUCCUAUCAGCUUGUUGGAGGGUAACGGCCUACCAAGGCUCCGACGGGUAGCUGGUCUGAGAGGGUGACCGGCCACACUGGGACUGAGACACGGCCCAGACUCCUACGGGAGGCGGCAGUGGGGAAUCUUGCGCAAUGGGCGAAAGCCUGACGCAGCGACGCCGCGUGGGGACGAAGGCCUCGGUGUAACCC